UACGUAGGGUCCGAGCGUUGUCCGGAAUUAUUGGGCGUAAAGGGCUCGUAGGCGGUUUGUUGCGUCGGGAGUGAAAACUUACAGCUUAACUGUGAGCGUGCUUCCGAUACGGGCAGACUUGAGGUAUUCAGGGGAGAACGGAAUUCCUGGUGUAGCGGUGAAAUGCGCAGAUAUCAGGAGGAACACCGGUGGCGAAGGCGGUUCUCUGGGAAUAUCCUGACGCUGAGGAGCGAAAGUGUGGGGAGCAAACAGG
rnacentral:rRNA from 1 species